rnacentral:misc_RNA from 1 species
UACUUUCUCUAGCUCCUUCAUUUGAG